rnacentral:rRNA from 1 species
UACGUAGGGCGCAAGCGUUUAUCCGGAAUUAUUGGGCGUAAAGAGCUCGUAGGCGGUUUUGUCGCGUCUGCCGUGAAAGUCCGGGGCUCAACUCCGGAUCUGCGGUGGGUACGGGCAGACUAGAGUGAUGUAGGGGAGACUGGAAUUCCUGGUGUAGCGGUGAAAUGCGCAGAUAUCAGGAGGAACACCGAUGGCGAAGGCAGGUCUCUGGGCAUUAACUGACGCUGAGGAGCGAAAGCAUGGGGAGCGAACAGG